AUUGAACGCUGGCGGCAUGCUUUACACAUGCAAGUCGAACGGUAACAGGCCUUCUGGUGCUGACGAGUGGCGAACGGGAGUGUAAUGCAUCGGAACGAGCCCAGAGGUGGGGGAUACCGAAGCGAAAGCAGUGCUAAUACCCCAGGUGAUCUGGGGAUGAAAGCGGGGGACUAAGCAGCAAUGUUUGGAAUCGCGCCUCUGGAGCGGCCGAUGUCCGAUCAGGUAGUUGGUGGGGUAAAGGCCUACCAAGCCGACGAUCUGUAGAUGGUCUGAGAGGACGAGCAGCCACACUGAGACUGAGACACGGCCCAGGCUCCUACGGGAGGCAGCAGUGGGAGAUUUUAGACAAUGGGCGCAAGCCUGAUCCAGCAAUGCCGCGUGCGGGAAGAAGGUCUUCGGGUUGGAAACCUCUUUUGUACGGAACGAAAAGGCUCUGGCUAAUACCUGGGGCUGAUGACGGUACCGGAAGAAUAAGCACCGGCUAACUACGUG
rnacentral:rRNA from 1 species